rnacentral:ncRNA from 1 species
GUAGAGUAGAUGUUAUGCGUAAAGUGUCACAGGAGGGGGAGGCUUUCUGUGAACGAAGGUUCGCCGCGUUAUAAUAUCGCUUCCGCUA